UGCUCCCCACUCCUCCUAGACAGCGCAUUUACUUCAUUGUCAGCUUGUUUGCAAUUUAUGCCUUCACUUGGGUUCAUGCUUGAUGCUUGUCUGUACGUUUGACUGAUUGCUUGUCUGCUGGACAUGCUUGAAUUGUGUUUUAGCGCUUAAGAUGGUUGAGGCUUGAGCUCUUUUUACUCUAUAUCUUUUUAAGUUCGUUUGAUUGUGAUGACAUAAUUGUGUGAUGAGAUUGGAUGUGUUGUUAUGCUCUUAGUUCUCUGAUGGGUGGUAUAAUUUAAUUGGUUGGUAUGGUGUGGAGUGGCAUACAACAAGAUGAUAUUCUGUUUUAUUUGGGGGUCGUAGACGAGCUCAAUGAUGUGUUGUUUUGGAAUGCUUUCAUUGCUGUACAAGGGCUGCUUGUGCUCGCACAAUACAAAUCUGUUUUCCUCCAUAUACUUUUAGAUGCAUAGAAUAUAAUUAUUGUGAUGUGGUUGUGGGGUGUUAUAGUUGGUAUUUGUAUGUAUCGUCCCCAGGUCAUGGAUCAUCCCCCUUAUCCCCUUCGAGGAGGCCAGAAAUAUGGUGCUACCUCCUGUCUAUAAAAGGAUGUUGCAAGUUUUCCUAAAUUUUAAAGUAUCUAGAUGCUCUUUAGUGUAUAGGUACAUCCAAAUUUAGACAAAUCUCCGACAUCCUUUCGUAGGCGAAGGGUCUGUUGCAAGCUAGAUUUUCUUCUAAUAUUAUGCUUGUUGAAAUUAUGAAAUAAUUUUUAUUUUUGGUGCAGCUCUAUGUGAUUGAAAAGUAUACCGGCUUAGGAUCAAUUUAGAUGGUUAAUCUUUUGGCAGUGGAGAAACUAAGAUGCAUAUAUUCUUGGACAGACUUUUCGUGGAUUUUGUGGUGUUGUUUACCACCGUCGGAGCUGCGACUGUGCAUGAAGCAAUUGAAAUUAUGCGUAUGAUCGACGGCCUUUUAUAAGGUUUGUUCUUAAGAGUUUUUCGUGCGGUCCUUUUUUUGUUUGAGAGUAUGCAAUACUUCUGCAUAGUUUGAAUAAGGAAUUUGAUAUAUGACCCUCCUUGCUCCCACGAGGAAUGAGUAAUUUUGAUAUACUUAUUCAUUUUAGUGUCUUCCAAUAUAAACUAAGGCUUUCUGUUUUUCUAUUUGAGUUAUAGGCUUGCCUGAUGUAAGAAAACAACAAUGUGUCAGGAGAGAGCAUUUCUUGAUCGAACCAAGCGAUGAUUUUUCCUAUUUUUCUACUUGGAAUAUUCACUUGAGUAAUUACUGAGGAGCACAACUCGGAUCAUGUGUGAGAAUGAGGAGGAUAUCGGUCAUGUGCAACUUUGGAUGGUUCCCAAGGUGGUAAAGAUUACUCCUUUUGCAAAGUUAAUUUGUUAAUAUGCAUGUUUAUUUAACUUUUCAUC